rnacentral:rRNA from 1 species
AGCGCAACCCUUGUCAUUAGUUGCUCGAAAGGGCACUCUAAUGAGACUGCCGGUGACAAACCGGAGGAAGGUGGGGAUGACGUCAAGUCCUCAUGGCCCUUAUAGGUGGGGCUACACACGUCAUACAAUGGCCGGUACAAAGGGUCGCAAACCCGCAGGGGGAGCCAAUCCAUCAAAGCCGGUCGUAGUCCGGAUCGCAGUCUGCAACUCGACUGCGUGAAGUCGGAAUCGCUAGUAAUCGUGGAUCAGCAUGUCACGGUGAAUACGUUCCCGGGUCUU